UCCCUGUUGGCUCAGAUGGUAAAGAAUCUGCCUGCAAUGCAGGAGACCUGGGUUUGAUCCCCAGGUCAGGAG
rnacentral:tRNA from 1 species